CACAUGCUGUGAGCUCGAUGAGUAGGGCGGGACACGUGGUAUCCUGUCUGAAUAUGGGGGGACCAUCCUCCAAGGCUAAAUACUCCUGACUGACCGAUAGUGAACCAGUACCGUGAGGGAAAGGCGAAAAGAACCCCGGCGAGGGGAGUGAAAAAGAACCUGAAACCGUGUACGUACAAGCAGUGGGAGCACAGAGCAAUCUGUGUGACUGCGUACCUUUUGUAUAAUGGGUCAGCGACUUAUAUUCUGUAGCAAGGUUAACCGAAUAGGGGAGCCGAAGGGAAACCGAGUCUUAACUGGGCGUUAAGUUGCAGGGUAUAGACCCGAAACCCGGUGAUCUAGCCAUGGGCAGGUUGAAGGUUGGGUAACACUAACUGGAGGACCGAACCGACUAAUGUUGAAAAAUUAGCGGAUGACUUGUGGCUGGGGGUGAAAGGCCAAUCAAACCGGGAGAUAGCUGGUUCUCCCCGAAAGCUAUUUAGGUAGCGCCUCGUGAAUUCAUCUCCGGGGGUAGAGCACUGUUUCGGCAAGGGGGUCAUCCCGACUUACCAACCCGAUGCAAACUGCGAAUACCGGAGAAUGUUAUCACGGGAGACACACGGCGGGUGCUAACGUCCGUCGUGAAGAGGGAAACAACCCAGACCGCCAGCUAAGGUCCCAAAGUCAUGGUUAAGUGGGAAACGAUGUGGGAAGGCCCAGACAGCCAGGAUGUUGGCUUAGAAGCAGCCAUCAUUUAAAGAAAGCGUAAUAGCUCACUGGUCGAGUCGGCCUGCGCGGAAGAUGUAACGGGGCUAAACCAUGCACCGAAGCUGCGGCAGCGACGCUUAUGCGUUGUUGGGUA
rnacentral:rRNA from 1 species